rnacentral:rRNA from 1 species
GCGUGAGCUACCUGCAGUCGACGGUGAAGCUCAGCUUGCUGGGUGGAUCAGUGGCGAACGGGUGAGUAACACGUGAGCAACCUGCCCCCUACUUCGGGAUAAGCCUUGGAAACGGGGUCUAAUACCGGAUAUGAACGUCUGCCGCAUGGUGGGUGUUGGAAAGUUUUUCGGUGGGGGAUGGGCUCGCGGCCUAUCAGCUUGUUGGUGGGGUAAUGGCCUACCAAGGCGUCGACGGGUAGCCGGCCUGAGAGGGCGACCGGCCACACUGGGACUGAGACACGGCCCAGACUCCUACGGGAGGCAGCAGUGGGGAAUAUUGCACAAUGGGCGAAAGCCUGAUGCAGCGACGCCACGUGAGGGAUGACGGCCUUCGGGUUGUAAACCUCUUUCAGCAGGGAAGAAGCGCAAGUGACGGUACCUGCAGAAGAAGCGCCGGCUAACUACGUGCCAGCAGCCGCGGUAAUACGUAGGGCGCAAGCGUUGUCCGGAAUUAUUGGGCGUAAAGAGCUCGUAGGCGGUCUGUCGCGUCUGGUGUGAAAUCCCAUGGCUCAACUGUGGGCUUGCAUCGGGUACGGGCAGACUAGAGUGCUGUAGGGGAGACUGGAAUUCCUGGUGUAGCGGUGGAAUGCGCAGAUAUCAGGAGGAACACCGAUGGCGAAGGCAGGUCUCUGGGCAGUUACUGACGCUGAGGAGCGAAAGCAUGGGGAGCGAACAGGAUUAGAUACCCUGGUAGUCCAUGCCGUAAACGUUGGGCACUAGGUGUGGGGCGGGUUCCACUCGUUCUGUGCCGUAGCUAACGCAUUAAGUGCCCCGCC